UACGUAGGCAGCAAGCGUUGUUCGGAGUUACUGGGCGUAAAGGGCGUGUAGGCGGUUCUUAAGUUUGCUGUGAAAUCUCCCGGCUUAACCGGGAGGGUGCGGUGAAUACUGAGGGACUAGAGUACGGGAGAGGAAAGUGGAAUUCCUGGUGUAGCGGUGAAAUGCGUAGAUAUUGGGAGGAACACCAGUGGCGAAGGCGGCUACCUGGACCGGUUCUGACGCUGAGGCGCGAAAGCGUGGGUAGCAAACAGG
rnacentral:rRNA from 1 species